GUAGUCCUUGAGUAUUUUAUAACAUGUUGUCCAGGGGUACAUGCACAGUCGUUGUAAACAUGUCCAUUAUCCAUAUCAUGCAAUUCAACCAUACACUGAUACCAACAUUAUGUAGGAAGUACGCCAUCAAUGGUUUCUCUACAUAUGGCACGGUAAUUCGAUUUCAAUAUAAUAUAUGAGUUUGUAAGGCAUGUUGCAUACUGUGGCUUAUCGUACUUGUUUAACUGUACACAGUCGUAAAUCCCACUUGGUCCAUAAUCCGGAUUACAGUGCCGAUAACCAUUACACAGAGUUAUUAAACAUAAUAUAGUAAUUGCUCUGAACACUUGUACUAUAUCCAUGACUUUACAAAC
rnacentral:lncRNA from 1 species